GGGUCGGUGGCGGAACGGCAGACGCAACGGACUUAAAAUCCGUCGGGGCAACCCGUGUGGGUUCGACUCCCACCCGACCUACUA
rnacentral:tRNA from 1 species